AGCAGUAUAGUGCAGAGGUAGCACGGGACUCUAAUACAGUCUAAGUCACGGGUUCGAAUCCCGUUACUGUUUCCA
rnacentral:tRNA from 1 species